rnacentral:rRNA from 1 species
AACGAACGCUGGCGGCAGGCCUAACACAUGCAAGUCGAGCGCCCUCGCAAGAGGGAGCGGCGGACGGGUGAGUAACGCGUGGGAAUUUUCCUCAAGGUACGGAACAACUCAGGGAAACUUGGGCUAAUACCGUAUGAUGUCUAGCGACCAAAGAUUUAUCGCCUUGGGAUAAGCCCGCGUCAGAUUAGGUAGUUGGUGGGGUAACGGCCUACCAAGCCUGCGAUCUGUAGCUGGUCUGAGAGGACGAUCAGCCACAUUGGGACUGAGACACGGCCCAAACUCCUACGGGAGGCAGCAGUGGGGAAUCUUGCGCAAUGGGCGAAAGCCUGACGCAGCCGUGCCGCGUGAAUGAUGAAGGUCUUAGGAUUGUAAAGUUCUUUCGCCCGUGACGAUGAUGACGGUAACGGGAGAAGAAGCCCCGGCUAACUUCGUGCCAGCCGCCGCUGUAA